GCGGGGGUGGAGCAGUUCGGUAGCUCGUCGGGCUCAUAACCCGAAGGUCGCAGGUUCAAAUCCUGCCCCCGCA
rnacentral:tRNA from 1 species